GUUCGGUCUGUCGAGUUCUCCUCCUCGUCAUCCUUUGGAGGCUUGUCAGCUGAUUCGAGUUCAGCAACCUUGUCCCGGAGCUGUCUGAGCUUGGCCUUCUUCGAAUUCAAGACAUCAACAAACUAGAGAAAAGCAUAAGUGGUAAUCAGAAUUGGAAGAGGCAGAGCAAAGGGACAUACACUCAAGCGAAUAUUUGCAUCCAUAAGGAAAUCAAGGAUCUCAUAUACAGUCUGCUGCGUGUUAGGUGAUGGCUGGAGCUUCCAACGCCAUUCCAACUUGGUACCUUGUCUUUCAAAUGUCCAUGACAGCUAUGGAACAAGAAAAGUUUCAGGGAAAAGUGAAGGAAAAAAAAUCCAUUUCAUAAGCUGGGAGACAGUAUGAAUAGUAGAUGCAUAAUAACCAUAUGAUAUAAGCCUCUUUCGACUCAAGUGCAUUACAUAUUCAUAUUUCAAGAUGGUAAGAUCAAUACAAAGGUUAGCAAUCUUACUUGCCACUAGUAUGUGAUUAAGUUGUAUACAAUGUAACUCAACUAAUUACAAAAGCUUAGCUCCAAAUAAUCAAGACAACCAAAUGUGAAGCAAGUACAUCAGUCCUGGAGCUAGGCCUGAAGGUUGGUCUUUUGCCUAACUUUCUUUUUUCUUUGGUUUGUUAGCCUCAUCACAUUUGUGGACUUGGGGUUGACUCUUCCUCAAAUUGUCAUGAUUAGAACUAUUGCACAUGUAAAAUGCUGUUUAUUGAGAUUUCUAUAUGAAAACGAUGCUCACCUCUUCAGCCUA